rnacentral:rRNA from 1 species
UUUAAUAAUUUAAAGUCUAAUCUGCCCACUGAUUUAUUAAUUAAAGGGCUGCAGUAUAUUGACUGUACAAAGGUAGCAUAAUCAUUAGUCUUUUAAUUGAAGACUUGUAUGAAAGAUUUGAUGAAAUAUAAACUGUUUCUAAUUUAUUUAUAGAAUUUAAUUUUUUAGUUAAAAAGCUAAAAUUUAAUUAAAAGACGAGAAGACCCUAUAGAGUUUUAUAUUUUUUAUUUAUUAUAUAUAUAUAUAUAUAUAUAUAAAUUUAUUUAAUUAAUAAAAAAUAUUUUGUUGGGGUGAUAAAAAAAUUAAAUAAACUUUUUUUUUUAAUAAAUAUAAAUAAGUAAAAAAUUGAUCCAUUAUUAAUGAUUAAAAGAAAAAAUUACCUUAGGGAUAACAGCGUAAUAUUUUUUUUUAGAACAAAUAAAAAAAAAAGUUUGCGACCUCGAUGUUGGAUUAAGAUAAAAUUUAAAUGCAAAAGUUUAAAAUUUUGAUCUGUUCGAUCAUUAAAAUCUUACAUGAUCU